CCUACGGGCGGCAGCAGUGAGGAAUAUUGGUCAAUGGCCGGAAGUCUGAACCAGCCAAGCCGCGUGAAGGACGAAGGUGCCAAGCAUUGUAAACUUCUUUUGUCAAGGGACAAAAUCAGGCUCGAGAGCCUGACCGAGGGUACUUGAAGAAAAAGCAUCGGCUAACUCCGUGCCAGCAGCCGCGGUAAUACGGAGGAUGCGAGCGUUAUCCGGAUUUAUUGGGUUUAAAGGGUGCGUAGGCGGGCUGUUAAGUCAGCGGUAAAAGCCCGGGGCUCAACCCCGGCGAGCCGUUGAAACUGGCUGUCUUGAGAUGGCGAGAGGUAGGCGGAAUGCGCAGUGUAGCGGUGAAAUGCUUAGAUAUUGCGCAGAACUCCGAUUGCGAAGGCAGCAUACCGGCGGCGAUCUGACGCUGAGGCACGAAAGCGUGGGUAUCGAACAGGAUUAGAUACCCUUGUAGUC
rnacentral:rRNA from 1 species